ensembl:lncRNA
GUGUGUGUGUGUGUUUGGAUAUGCAUGUGCAUGUGCGCGUGUGUGUGUGUGUUCCUGGGCACUGUUGCUAAACCUUUGGCAAUCUUGUGCCAGUCUUGGACGUGAUGUGUGUUUGUCUGUCUGCUCUCUUCUCAGUCAAGGUCUCACCCAGGCAGCCAUUGAGGCUUUGCAUACACACACACACACACACACACACACACACACACACACACACACACACACACACACACACACACACACACACACAGACAGACUUGUCAUCACAGACACAGGCACAAGGAUUCUGACGCUUUCAGCAUGACUGCCUUACUUUCUGAGUUGUUUUUAUUACCUUAAUCUAUUCCUGUGCCACAACCAGGGGCUUGUGGGAGAUAUGGGGGCAUAAUAACAAGAAACCUAAAAUACAUGUUUGAAACAUCUCGCUUCUGUUGUUUCUCUCUGAGAACGUUCAGGCCGAAAGCACAGAAGAUGCCUUGCUAGCAGUUUUAUUCUGCAGCGUUCCACUUCACAGAAUCUACAAAGACAACAAAAAACGAAAGGAGAGCUAGUUAAUCUGAGCCGUUACAUGGCUGGAUUUGACAGGCCGUUUGCUGAACGGGGCCAAAGCACAACUCUCUGUAGAGGCGUUCGGCCUCAGCAAUGUUCAGAAAGUGUGUCAUUGUGAACAGGUGCUCACACAGAUGUACAAAGACAACCGAACACAAACAAACACUGUGCUGUUACGCCUGGCCACUUUAUCAGACGAAUAUCCUUCACAAGAGCUCAUUGAUUCUUUGAUUGAGGAUAACAGAUGGAGCAAUUAUUCUACCUAAGGGAACAGCUCCACAUGGAGCAACAGAAAAAAAGGUGGAUCCUGUUAACCAAAGGGGAAGGUGCUAGUGGGCUUCCCACAGCAGGUGCCCUUGUUCCAGGCUGUGAUGAGUGCCAGCUGCUGACAGAGGGCCGUCCACCAGCGGAAGAUGGUCCUUUCCUCCCUGUUCCUCCACUCUAUUCAUGAGCAACUUGACCACAAGAUCUGUCAAUCAGCCUCAGUGUGGGUGUAUAAAAAUACUAACGUGGCUGCUCAUUGGAUAGUCUUGCAGCAGAUAAAAGACUUUGGUUUAUUAAAACUGUCAAUAGCAUUCUCCUGAAGAAUGCUUUGAGAAGACUGAUAUUUAUUUGAGGAAUUACUCUACACUUGAGUGAUGACUGAUGAACUGUUGAGGAGGGCUUUGAGUCUGGUUGUAUUCUGAUAUGAAAAAAUAUCCCUUUUUUAAUUUGGCCUUUUUGCUGAUUUCAUUUCAUGCAACAAUACCUAGAGGGUAGGAAUGAUUGGGAAAAUAGAGGUUAAGAGCGAGCUGUCUGCAUAAGCAAUAUGGCUCAAUGUUUCAGAACUUCUGUGCCAACAACCCUACAGUUAAUAAGGAUGAUGAGUAAAUAAAUAAAUACAUAGGUUCCAUUAAAGUGUGAAACAGCAACAUAAAUGCAUAAACAGUACACAUACUGCUUUGCAUGGCUAUGGUAAAUAAAAGAAAAAAAUAACAUUUACUAUUGUGAUUGAAGAAUUUAUUUAUGAAAGUGUGAUUAAAGCAAAUAAGUGAAACUUUGCUGAAGGUUAACAUAUUAUUGAUGAUGAUUUCCAUUUCUUUCCACAAGUUAGAUGUAACAAGAAUAACAGGAAAUGUACUGAAUUGCAAUUCAAAUCAAUUAAAAAAAAAAGGGUAAUUUAUGUUACUUAUAUAGGUGGCAUACAUUUUGAUUAUUAGCAUAAUUUAGUAAAUAAAACAAAUAAUACAAACACACACACACACACACACACACAAAUGGAAAGGAACUGAAAAUAAAGUUUUUAAAAUCAAAAAUGUAUUUGUAAAAUAACAAUAAUAAUAAUAAAUUAUAUUAAAUAAAUUACAUUUAAAUUAUUUACAUAUGUUCUCAUGACCUAA